rnacentral:rRNA from 1 species
UACGAAGGGGGCGAGCGUUGUUCGGAUUUACUGGGCGUAAAGGGCGCGUAGGCGGCGGGUCAAGUCGAGUGUGAAAGCCCCGGGCUCAACCUGGGAAUUGCGCUCGAGACUGGUCUGCUUGAGUUCGGGAGAGGAGCGUGGAAUUCCCAGUGUAGAGGUGAAAUUCGUAGAUAUUCGGAAGAACACCAGUGGCGAAGGCGACUUACUGGACACAUAUUGACGCUGAGGUGCGAAAGCGUGGGGAGCGAACAGG